CUACGGGGUGCAGCAGUGGGGAAUAUUGGACAAUGGGGGAAACCCUGAUCCAGCAAUGCCGCGUGUGUGAAGAAGGCCUGCGGGUUGUAAAGCACUUUCGGUUGGGAGGACUGCUUCUAGCACUAAUAUUGUUGGAAGUUGACGUUACCUUCAGAAGAAGCACCGGCUAACUCCGUGCCAGCAGCCGCGGUGAAUACGGAGGGUGCAAGCGUUAAUCGGAAUUACUGGGCGUAAAGCGCGCGUAGGCGGCUAGAUCAGUCGGGUGUGAAAGCCCCGGGCUUAACCUGGGAACUGCAUCCGAUACUGUCUAGCUUGAGUACAGGAGAGGAGAGUGGAAUUCCACAUGUAGCGGUGAAAUGCGUAGAUAUGUGGAGGAACACCAAUGGCGAAGGCAGCUCUCUGGCCUGAUACUGACGCUGAGGUGCGAAAGCGUGGGGAGCAAACAGGAUUAGAUACCCCGGUAGUC
rnacentral:rRNA from 1 species